rnacentral:rRNA from 1 species
GACGGAGGAUGCAAGUGUUAUCCGGAAUCACUGGGCGUAAAGCGUCUGUAGGUUGUCAAAUAAGUCAACUGUUAAAUCUUGAGGCUCAACUUCAAAAUCGCAGUCGAAACUAUUAGACUAGAGUAUAGUAGGGGUAAAGGGAAUUUCCAGUGGAGCGGUGAAAUGCGUAGAGAUUGGAAAGAACACCGAUGGCGAAGGCACUUUACUGGGCUAUUACUGACACUCAGAGACGAAAGCUAGGGUAGCAAACAGG